UGUCUGGUUGACGUUGCCUCCAGAGAGGGCCAUCCAUGGCUUCCUGGGCUGGAGUCACUGGCAGAAUCUCAAGCAACAGUCUGCAGACACCCUGGCCUGUGGAAAGACAGGCUCAGCCCGCCUUGGGUUUAUGGUUUCACUCUUCUAAUAAAAGAAUUCCAUAGGAAAUGGCUGCUGGUGAAGAUGACGGCAGGAAAGACACUGUCAGUCAGGAUCGGCUGGAGUUUCCCAAGCCAAAACAGCUGCCGCAGCCCUACCAAAAAAAUACUUCCUUUGGACUGAAAAGGAAUUCUUUCUCUCUAGGGAUACAAGCUGUAAAGUCUACAUCAAAGGGAUAAGACAGCCAAACCCAGUCCUCACACCACCAGGAGGAGCAGAGAUGCCAGCUUUCCCUAGAGGAAAUAUGCUUUGUGAACCAAACCCUGAGCAUCAAGAGGCAGCAUCCUGGUUCUGUCACUUAAGCAUCAGUGGUGUAUCAUCUUGCCUGCUGGCUGCUCACAGGUUCUGUCUAUAAAGGAGGAUUUGGCAUCAUCUGAGUUAAUAUGGUAUAAACUGAGGUACCCAAUGAGGAAUCUUCAAUCUACAAUGAGGCAAAAAUAAUUUUAUCAUUGGAGACUACAGCCAAAAGUAGAUUUUGAAGAAAUGUGUGAAGACACAUUGCCCUUUAC